rnacentral:rRNA from 1 species
UUGAACGCUGGCGACAGGCCUAACCCAUGCAAGUCGAGCGGAUGAAGGGAGCUUGCUCCUGGAUUCAGCGGCGGACGGGUGAGUAAUGCCUAGGAAUCUGCCUGGUAGUGGGGGAUAACGUCCGGAAACGGGCGCUAAUACCGCAUACGUCCUGAGGGAGAAAGUGGGGGAUCUUCGGACCUCACGCUAUCAGAUGAGCCUAGGUCGGAUUAGCUAGUUGGUGGGGUAAAGGCCUACCAAGGCGACGAUCCGUAACUGGUCUGAGAGGAUGAUCAGUCACACUGGAACUGAGACACGGUCCAGACUCCUACGGGAGGCAGCAGUGGGGAAUAUUGGACAAUGGGCGAAAGCCUGAUCCAGCCAUGCCGCGUGUGUGAAGAAGGUCUUCGGAUUGUAAAGCACUUUAAGUUGGGAGGAAGGGCAGUAAGUUAAUACCUUGCUGUUUUGACGUUACCAACAGAAUAAGCACCGGCUAACUUCGUG